rnacentral:misc_RNA from 1 species
GAUGAAGAACGUAGCGAAAUGCGAUACGUAAUGUGAAUUGCAGAAUUCAGUGAAUCAUCGAGUCUUUGAACGCACAUUGCGCCCCCUGGUAUUCCGGGGGGCAUUCCUGUCCGAGCGUCAUUGCUGCCCUCAAGCACGGCUUGUGUGUUGGGCCUCCGUCCUCCUCCCGGGGGACGGGCCCGAAAGGCAGCGGCGGCACCGCGUCCGGUCCUCGAGCGUAUGGGGCUUCGUCACCCGCUCUUGUAGGCCCGGCCGGCGCUUGCCGACACAUCAAUCUUUUUUCCAGGUUGACCUCGGAUCAGGUAGGGAUACCCGCUGAACUUAAGCAUAUCAAUAAGCGGAGGA